CAACGCCAAAUGGAACCUGGCCGAGAAUCUGUUUGAAAUGACGCCGCAUCGAUACCAGAAUUUGCCAUGAAAAAUUGCCAAGGAAGCACCGGACGACCCAGCCCAGCUGCACAGCCAUUCCUGAUUCAGGAGUUUUUGAUCACCCAUUUAGGAACCAACUAUACUGCAUCCUGUCUAUUGUCGGUGGAGCUAUCGUGUCUGCAAUUCUGCCGAGACAAGCGAGCUUGCGCAAGUGACAGUGGGCGCUGUCUGUCGGAGAAUUGGAGGCGUUCAACACGGAUGCCGGGGAGACGAAUGCCAUUUUGCAGGCGCUGUGCCACAAGAACGGCUGCGGUUUCGUGGACGGCACAUGCGAGCUGAUGGGGAUGCUGAAGGCUGACGGCGUGCACCCGACGAAACGUGGUAGCCAGCGCCCAUUUGAAAAACUGGAGCUUAUUGCGGAAGCCACAAACCACCCAAAGAAUUUGGUGCCGUGUGCCAUCUACGAUACUUCUUUCUGCAAAGCAUUUCUGAAAAACGCCAGCAUGGCCAAACAGCGAUUCGAAAGAGGUCUUUUUGAGUUUCCUUUCGCACUCCUUGUUUUGUCCGUUCUUAAUUCUUUCUGCCUUUUCUAAGAUGUUUCUAGAAAACACUAAACCUUCAACUG